rnacentral:rRNA from 1 species
GUUGAACGCUGGCGGCAUGCCUUACACAUGCAAGUCGAACGGUAACAGGUCUUCGGAUGCUGACGAGUGGCGAACGGGUGAGUAAUACAUCGGAACGUGCCCGAUCGUGGGGGAUAACGGAGCGAAAGCUUUGCUAAUACCGCAUACGAUCUACGGAUGAAAGCAGGGGACCGCAAGGCCUUGCGCGGACGGAGCGGCCGAUGGCAGAUUAGGUAGUUGGUGGGAUAAAAGCUUACCAAGCCGACGAUCUGUAGCUGGUCUGAGAGGACGACCAGCCACACUGGGACUGAGACACGGCCCAGACUCCUACGGGAGGCAGCAGUGGGGAAUUUUGGACAAUGGGCGCAAGCCUGAUCCAGCCAUGCCGCGUGCAGGAUGAAGGCCUUCGGGUUGUAAACUGCUUUUGUACGGAACGAAACGGCUCUUUCUAAUAAAGAGGGCUAAUGACGGUACCGUAAGAAUAAGCACCGGCUAACUACGUGCCAGCAGCCGCCGUAAUAC